CCCUGAUUAAGAGGUGAUGACUACUCCACUCAACUUCCACUGUCAACUUACUCAUGACAUGAACUGAAGCCACAUCUCAUGUGCCUACUCAUCCACUGGCACAUUGAAUGUUUUCCCUCCACUCACUUCAACUCCUGUCCUGCACUGGUCAAGCCUCUGAACACCUCAACUCAUGCCUCAUACCCUCAUUCAAGCCCUGCUGUGAUCCCUUUCCAACUGUACACACAAAGUGAAGAGUUCACCCGAACGUCCCAAGGCCCCACUUAUGGAGUGGUGGAGUAUGGGUAAUGGCUUUGUUUUUCCAUACCACCUCUGAGGACACCCGUCAUCCAUCCUGCUACCCUCUCUCCUGAACGGUAGGUGCACUCCUAGAACUGCCUCUCACCAAAUUGGAUUAAUUAAAAGCAUUGCUUUGAAGUGACAGGGCCUCUAACGCUGAAGUGCCAGGCUCUUAUUCACAGGAGACACG